rnacentral:misc_RNA from 1 species
AGAUUCAGGUACGCUCUAUCUAAUACACUUUUUGGAUUUUGGAUUUCCCUACCUUGAUAUUUGUUAGGCUAACACAGGAAUUAGAAAUUAUAGUUUGCAUUUGAGGCCAAGUUGUGCCUAACACGGUAAAGGAAGAUGCCUGUGAAGUUGGUGUUUGGGGGGAAGUUGACCCUGUCUGACCCCAAGGAUUUCCCUGUGGUCAUUGUUGGACAGCUGCCCCACUUGACCAGUAUCUCUUUUGAUGAUAUGAAAAUCAAGCUCUCUCCAAGGGUGGAUAAAGAGACAUUUGACCAGGCAGUAGGUAACCUGAGGCCCUCACCCACAGACACUUGCCCUCUGUGGCUCAGAAAUGCCACCAUUGCUGCUCUACCAUUAAAAAGCAGCAGACACAACACUCCAUCUCGAGCCCAUUCUCUGUCAAAACUGGUUAAAAGCUGCCUGACUGACCAGGAGGAAUAUGUUGUGAUUGUGUGUGAGAGGGAGGAUGCCUAUGCGUUGGGAUGUGCUGUGGCCAGGAUUCUGCCACUGUACUCAGGCAAGUCUGGGGGUGCCUCCAACUACACCCUGACAGUGGAGUUCCUGUUAGUGGGAGCGGACAAGGAGAUCCCUCUGUCCUCAGCCACAGACCGCAGGGUGCCACCAAAAACAUUGCCUGGGUCGGAAAGGGGAUUGUGUUUGACACUGGUGGACUCUGCAUCAAGGCCAGGCAAGGUAUGUGUGGAAUGAAGCGUGAUUGCGGAGGAGCAGCAGGAAUUCUGGGAGCUUUUUACGCUGCCGUUAAACUGGGCUUUACAGAGAAUUUGCAUGCAGUGUUUUGUGUGGCAGAGAAUGCAGUGGGCCCUCUGGCCACACGGACAGACGAUGUUUACACUCACUACUCAGGGAGAACUGUGGAGGUCAACAAUACAGACGCAGAGGGAAGACUUGUGCUGGCUGAUGGGGUUGCUUAUGCAAGAAAAGAUUUGAAAGCUGAUGUGGUGGUUGACAUGGCAACCCUGACCGGUGCUCAAGGAAUAGCAACUGGUAAAUACCAUGGCAGCAUCGUGACCAAUGAUGAGAACAUGGAGCUAUGGUGCGUGAAGGCGGGGCAGAACUCAGCGGACCUGGUCCACCCCAUGCCCUACUCUCCCGAACUCCACUUCAGAGAAUUCAAUAGUGCAAUAGCCGACGCCAAAAACUCUGUAGCAGACAGAAGCAAUGCCCAAGUCUCCUGCGCUGGUCUCUACAUUGCCUCCAACCUCGGCUUCGACUAUCCCGGGGUGUGGCUUCACAUAGAUAUGGCGGCCCCUGUAUACAAUGGAGAACGAGCCACAGGGUAUGGAGUAGCCCUUCUAGCCACUCUGUUCGGUCAGAUGUCCCACAAUUCCCUGCUGAAGUAUGUGGCGCCCCCUGUGUCUAUACAGGAAGCCAUGGAGGUAGAGAACGAGGACUCAUCCAAGAAGAUUCGACGCCACUAGCUGUGAUGUUGUUUAUUCCAGGAUCAAAAAAUACAUUAUUUAUUAGAAUGAGUCUGUUGAUUUUUGCUUUAUAUAUUUUCUUUUGCCUUAGAAGUUGUAAUAUGUAGAGAAGUGAAGAAGCAAUUUACUCAGAUAUGUAUCACUCGAACUCUGUUUCUUAGUCACUAAGGUGGCAUUUAAUAGAAUUUAACUCGUUUGAAUAAUCCAAAAUUUGUUUGCUGCUGUUCUGUGAGGCAACUGUUGUCUCAGGUUCAUGUGAAGUAUUUGGAAAGAUUUAAUGUAUGCAAAUUGAACAAUCUUGUGAUUUCAUGGUACAUGUAUCAAUUUAUAAUUGCCACACAUUUAUAAUUUAAUUGUAAAUGUAGUUCUCAAUAAAAAUAAAGAUGAAAGAAAAUC